ACGCACGCUGGCGGCGUGCUUAACACAUGCCAGUCGGACGGAAAGGCCCUGCUUUUGUGGGGUGCUCGAGUGGCGAACGGGUGAGUAACACGUGAGUAACCUGCCCUUGACUUUGGGAUAACUUCAGGAAACUGGGGCUAAUACCGGAUAGGAGCUCCUGCUGCAUGGUGGGGGUUGGAAAGUUUCGGCGGUUGGGGAUGGACUCGCGGCUUAUCAGCUUGUUGGUGGGGUAGUGGCUUACCAAGGCUUCGACGGGUAGCCGGCCUGAGAGGGUGACCGGCCACAUUGGGACUGAGAUACGGCCCAGACUCCUACGGGAGGCAGCAGUGGGGAAUAUUGCACAAUGGGCGGAAGCCUGAUGCAGCAACGCCGCGUGCGGGAUGACGGCCUUCGGGUUGUAAACCGCUUUCGCCUGUGACGAAGCGUGAGUGACGGUAAUGGGUAAAGAAGCACCGGCUAACUACGUG
rnacentral:rRNA from 1 species